GGAUGGGCCGGGUUUGGUGGCUCACGCCUGUAAUCCCAGCACUUUGGGAGGCUGAGGAGGGCGGAUCACAAGGUCAGGAGAUCGAGACUACCCUGGCUAACACGGAGAAACCUCAUCUCUACUAAAAAUACAAAAAUUAGCCGGGCUUGUUGGCGGGCGCCUGUAGCCCCAGCUACUUGGGAGGCUGAGUCAGAAGAAUGGCGUGAACCCGGGAGGCGGAGCUUGCAGUGAGCUGAGACUGCACCACUGCACUUCAGCCUGGGCUGGGCGACAGAGCGAGACUGAGUCUCUCAAAAAAAAAAAAAAGAAAAAGGAUUAACGUGUUUCUGACUGUUUCCUGAGGCCUCUGCAGCCAUGCUUCCUGGACAGCCUGCAGAACUGUGAGUCAAUUAAACCUCUUUUUUUUUUUCAGAUGGAGUCUCACUCUGUUGCCCAGCCUGGAUUGCAGUGGUGCAAUCCAUCAGCUCACUGCAACCUCUGCCUCCUGGGUUCAAGUGAUUCUUCUGCCUCAGUCUCCCCAGCAGCUGGGAUUACAGGCAUCCACCACCAUGCCAGGCU
rnacentral:lncRNA from 1 species